UACGAAGGGGGCUAGCGUUGCUCGGAAUCACUGGGCGUAAAGCGCACGUAGGCGGAUUGUUAAGUCAGGGGUGAAAUCCUGGAGCUCAACUCCAGAACUGCCUUUGAUACUGGCGAUCUUGAGUCCGGGAGAGGUGAGUGGAACUGCGAGUGUAGAGGUGAAAUUCGUAGAUAUUCGCAAGAACACCAGUGGCGAAGGCGGCUCACUGGCCCGGUACUGACGCUGAGAUACGAAAGCGUGGGGAGCGAGUCCGG
rnacentral:rRNA from 1 species